GUUGGUUAGGAAAAUACAAUUGAAAUUUUCCCAGAAUACUAAUAAUGACAUUUGUGCAGCCCUCCACCGGCGAAUCAACAGUUGAUGUUGAAAAUAUAGAUAAUACAUUGCGUGGAGCGGAAGAUGGAAUGUUUGGCGGCUUCUUUGAUGCAAAUGGUAAUGAUGCGAAUGGUGUUGUUUCUGGAACUUUCCCCCCACCUGGUGAUGAUUUACCUACAUUUUGAGAUAUCUCUCAUCAUGGUGAAGGAAGUGGUCUGAACUUUCUUUGUUGAUUAACUGAAAGCAAAUGGACAAUUAUCCUUUUGGCCAUGCACUUGGUUAUGGUUGUGAUUGUUUGGAUCAGUGACUUAUAUGAUGCAUGGUGUAUGUAUCCCAGGCUACUAAUUGGCAAUCCUAGGUAGAUGACAUUUUGUGAGUUCUAGGUACUGAGCUAGAUGCCAUCUUUUGUAAGGAGUGGUACUAUUGUGUAAACUCUUUGAUGUUGCCAUGUAUAAUGAUGGUGGCUGAAAUAUAUAGUUUAUGUGAUUUCUUUCUAAUUUUUGGAGUGAUUAUAUGCAAUUAUUUUUAAUAUUUUAAUUUCUACAGAACAAUAUUAAUUUGACCCAAUAAUGCAAUAUUUUGAAAUACUGAUUCCUUAGGGUUUGUAAACCCAAGGGGUAUAAAGUGGACUAACAUCAGCUGCCGUUACAGGAUAUUUCCCUAGGGAGUGAAACUAACCCAAAGGAUAUCAACUUUACACGUCAGCAUGCUAGCCCACCCGUCGCCUGUUUCCCUAGAGUUCAAAACCCAAGGGAGAAAGAACUAUACCUAGGGUAUUCUUUCCUCACCCUAGGGAAACUAAGAUUCCCCCACCAUUGGAGCCCUAGGGAGUUUUCCCUAGGGGAUACACUAGGGAAACCCCUUUCCCUAGUGUUUUUGCCCAUUUGCUUAGGGUAUGAGGCCCUAGGGCUAUGUGCGGAAUCUAGUAGUGAAGGAAUAAACAUCUCCGUUUCUUGUGAAUUAAAACGAACCUUGUAUCUUACUGAGCUCACACAUGCCAUUAUAAGAUCUAUCCAUUGAUCAUCAAAACCCAGCAUUUUCAUCAUGUUCCUCAGGAAAACCCACUCAACUCUAUCAUAAGCUUUAUGCAUGUCCAAUUUGACUGCACAUAGACCAGCCUGAGUAUUCCUGGUGUUCUUAAUUUUGUGAAUGCACUCAUAAGCCACUAGAAUAUUGUCAGUAAUCAUUCUACCAGGAAUAAAUGCACUUUGGGUUGGAGAUAUUAUAUCUGGCAAAAUGCUUUUCAAGCGACUAGAAAAGCAUCUUAGAUAUUAUCUUAUACAGAACAUUGCAAAGGCUGAUUGGACGGUAUUGAGUAAUCAAUCUGGGGAGUCCACCUUAGGGAUCAAAACUAUAGAUGUAUCAUUCCACUCUUGUGGAAUAUGUUUUAAGUUGAUAGCAUGUAGUACAGCAGCAGUAAUAUCCUCCCUAAUAAUGUGCCAAUUUCUUUUUUAAAUAUCGCAUGUAGCCCAUCAGGACCCAGUGCCUUCAAAUCCCCAAUACUAUAUACUGCUUUACAAACAUCAUCAGCAGAAAACGGGGCCAACAACAUGUCAUUCAUCUGGUUUGUUACCUUAGGCUGUACCUUUUGCAACAUCGCCAGUUCCGUGUCAAAUACCUCCGAGUUGAACAGACCCUCAAAGUAGCUCUGGAUAUGAGAAUUCAACUCAUCCACGUUCUCUAUUAUAUCACCAUUGGCAUCUUUCAUUUUUUUAAUAAAAUUCUUUUUACGUCUCGCUGCUGCAAACGCUUGAAAGAAAGCCGUGUUUCUAUCACCAAACUUGAGCCAAUCCACUCGUGAUCUUUGCAUACUUUGAAUUUCCUCUAACUCCAGUAAAUAUUCCACCAAUUCUGCAAGCUCCUUCCUCUUCUUCUCGUUUUCAUCAGUCAUGGGGCCCGAAAUAACCCUCUCCAACUCACGUUGAGCUUUUCUUAACCUUUUCUUUGGUUUUUUCAGAACACGUUGGUCCCAAUCAUGAAAGACCGAGUGCAUUUUUGUAAGCUUCUCGAACACCCCCGGGGACGCUGGGUCGUUCUUCAACCUUUCCCAUGUUUCUGUUACCAGUUCCGAAAACUGCGCUUCUCUCGGCCAUCGCGCUUCAAACCUCUUAGGUCCACCAUUUGCAACUCCUUGGUUAACAUAAAAGUAUGUGUUCAUCAACAAGGGUCGAUGGUCUGAAUGAUUAAAGUUACAAUGCUCUAAACCAGCAUUAGGGAAGAGGCUAGCCCAUUCAUUAUUGAUUAGGCCUCUAUCCAGUCUUUCUCUAAUUCUCCUUCUUCUCCAUGUGAAAAUAUCUCCAAUAUACCCCAUAUCAUGUAACCUGCAAUCAUCGAUCACAUGUUGAAAAGCUACCAUAUAUUGUGGAGGCCGUGGAUUGCCUCCCUCCUUCUCAUGCAAGAAAAGGAUCUCAUUAAGAUCUCCCAUCAUCAACCAUGGAAGAUUAUUAUUGCUCUGAUAUAGGUCUCACAUUCGACCCCAUGUCAAGUGUUUGUUUGCCCAUCGGAAUUUUCCAUACAUACCAGUAAAUCGCCAUGUAUUAUUAUCACAUGUGAUCUGAAUAUCUAUGAACAUUGGGUCUAGUCCAAGUCUUUGGACCGGUAUUCCAUUAGCCACAGCAAAAUCAGAGCUCCACUUCUCCCAUUGCUAGUGCACACCAUUUUCUGAUCCAUCUUUAAUUUGCUCCGGGCCUGUCCGGCCGCCGGAAAGACAGUGCAACACAUGUACGUAUGCAGCGGAUAGAUGAAUGCAUGAACCUUGUCAAUAGGGCCGGCAUAAUAAUUGUAUUACAAUGGCGGCGGUACGAUAUUUUUCCUCUGAUGAUGGAUGAUUCUUUUUUCAUCCUUGACAGGUGAUUCUUUUUUUUUGACGUGGACACGUUCUUUCUUUUAGCUAGAUAGACGUGAGGAUUCCUUUUUCUUUAACCUGGACAGGUGAUUUUUUUUUUACAUGGGCACGUGAUUUUGUUUAGCUAGGCGUGUGGAUAAUUAUUGAGGGCACAAACAGAUCUCACAACAAGGCCGCCUGACGCGUAUGCGUGAUGGGAGGCGACAUCCUGGGCGGCGCCGCAAGGCCGCCUGACGCGAAUCCGACGGGCGCGCAGCCGUCCGGCGCACGUUGGCCGCCAGUCGCGCGGCAGACCCCAUCUCCUCCGCCGGUGAUCUCAGAGGAUAACACCGGGGAUGAUGAGAUCCGGGUCAUGGCGGAUCAGUGGGUGGUUCGUUUCUCGGAUCCGAUCCGCGGAUGGAUCGAGGGACGGCUACAGCACUCUCCGUCAUCGCGCUGGACGUCACUUCGUGAUAUGGAUAACGACAUCCUUGCCGGCGAUUACCUGGCGGCGGACGUUCAGAUCGAGGUAGGGAUGCGUUUUAUUUUAGUUGACUUCGAUGUCCAUGUGUUGUCAGUUUUGCAGGAGGUUCACAGAGAGGAGAUCGAAAUGAUCGAUUUGACGACGAUGCAUGAGACGAUGCGGGAGGCGUCCGCGGCCAUUGCACAGGUACUCCACCUUCCGAGCGACCGGGGCGACCGGGGCGACGCAACCGUCCGGCCGACGAGCGCCGGGACCAUGCAUUCGGGGGUGGUGGCUCGGGUCGGCGGCCGGUUUUGGGUGCUGGCCGAAGCCGACGAGGAUGAUGCGGACGGUGACGGUGACGAUCCGGACGCUUCCCCACCAACGCCGACCCCAUCCGACCUAGUCUGCGAAUUCUUCCAUGCGGGCUAUGAUGAGGACGAGGUGGCCUCGACGGUGGAUAGAGUGCUGCCAGUUGAAGAUCCGGCAAGGGUGGGGCUUCAUGCGGGAGAGAAGAAGGAGAUGGUCCGGCGAGUGGUUCACCGUCGAACGGCGGCGACGGCGGUCCGACCAUGGAAGGGUCCCCUUCCAAAGGUUAGUCUACCGAACCUUACUCUUUUCGAUAUGAUUCAUCCGGAUUCUUGGAUUCAAGUUAAACGGAAGAAGAGGCUUGUCUGUUCUGGCGGUGUGCCGGCGGCGGCCAUGGCGAGAUCGCCGGCGAGUCGGUCGAUCUCGAUCUCGAAACAGCGGGCGACGCGUUUGAACGCUCUCCUGGGCUGUGCGCUAGAGGGCCUUCCUGACGGGCCGGUUCUGAGUGAGCCGGGCUCUGUUUUGGGUGGGCCUGAGGUAACCGGGUAUGAGGCCCAGGUUAACUUUGAUAGUUUUAGAGGGCGGAUCGCUACACCCCCAUGCACGAUCGACGGGACGACAGAGGUAUCUCGUUCGAGGCGGCCUAGGGUUCUGCUGCCCAGGCUGCGAUCUUGCUUCUCUGAUCGUGGGGCAGGGCGCGCUCGUCGGGUUCCCGCGCUUCGUUGCAUGGCGGGCGGAGGCCCUCCUCCGGCCAAGGCCGGCGCGCAGGCCGGAGUCCCGGGCAGCGUGGGGCGCGGAGGCUUGCCUCAGCCUGCGGGAGGCGGCCGGGGCGGAGAGGCGGCCUCUAUGGCCGCGGGUCGGGGCCGUCCGGGUCUGCGCGCGGCCGCUCCUCCGGCCUCAAACCAGGUGGCCCAGGGGCCAAAUGGCGCCCGACAAACGCUGCACGGCGGCCUGCCCAGGCCAGGCGCAGUCGGCCGCGGAACUUUGCCGGCGGGUAGACCCCCGCCUCCUGUCGCCGGUCGGGGCGGACUUAGGCCACCGGCGCCUCUCCCCACGGCGACUGCGGGUCAUGGUCAUCGGCCACCUGCUCCAGCGGCGGCUGGACAGCCGCGUCCUCAGGCGAUGCAGGCCGGGGUCCGACCGCCGCAGUUCGUGGCUCGGCAGUCGCACAAUCCGACGGCACCGGCUUUGGAGCAGGCGCAACUGCAAAUGGCUCCGGUGAGGGGGGGUGACUCGUCGGUGCCUCGUGGUCAAUGGGGUGAUGAUGGUCUCAAUGCGUAUGGUGACGGACAGCACCGGGGAUCCUCGUCCAUAGGUGGUGGGCGGGGGUAUGCUUGGCAAUGUGACGGCUCGACCGAGAGACCUUUCCUGGGGCCUACGGGAGGUUUCGUCGAAGGGCCGGCCGGACCAGCUCAUAGGAACCGUGGUGGCUUUCGUGGUAACCGUGGUGGACGGGGCGGCCGAGGUGGUCGCUAUCGCCCAAGGCAGCAGCAGGUUGUCGUCGAUCAGACACCGAUUGGUGUAAAUACCGAUGAUACUGCGUUGACUUGUCAGGCUAUGGAGGUUGUUACAGCUCUGGCGGAGGCGGUUCCUACUAAUAAUGGCGAGGUUGAGGUGAUGUCAGUGGAGGGAUCUGAAAAGGCUGAGCUGGAUAGGGCGGCAAAGUAUGCGCGAAAAAAAGAAAGAAUGUUAUGCUAUCGAUGUGGCAACAAAGGCCACUUCAUUGCUGAGUGUGUGGCAGUCUUAUGCGAUACGUGUGGUAAGCCGGACCAUGAGUCAGGGGCUUGUCCGCUUUUGAGGGAGAAGCUACCAAAUCUGAUGAUGUAUGGUGUGUUCUGUUCAGAGCUCACAUUUUUCGAGUCUCCGAUGGAGCAGGAGGUCUCGGAUGAGGUGCGCAGUGUGACGUCUGGGAUAGUUAAAGUGACUAGAGGUGAAGUCUCUGAGGCCCAAAUUGUGCAGCGGCUCCGGGAGCUGGCACCGGGGGACUUCCUAUGGGAGUUAGUCAGUCUUGAGCCAAACUCGUUCAGGGUGGAGUUUCCAUCGGUGGAGGAUCUACAGAGGUUAUUGAGUUUCGGGAUGUGUAAGGUGCCAGGUACUGAGGGCAUUCUGGAGUUCCACGAGUGGAAAUUGAGUGAGCCUCAGGGUACGCCACUUACCCAGGCCUGGUUGCGGUUUUCGGGGGUACCACACAGGCCCUUGCAGGAUGCCAGGGUUGUUGCUAGUAUGGCUGUUUUGGUGGGAUAGCCCGAGCGAGUGGAUAUGGCUUUCACCAGAGCUUAGGGAGUGGCUCGCAUCCUAGUCAGUAUCCUGGACAUUGAGUAUGUUCCGGACGUGGUGAAGUGGGCUUAUCGCGGUCAGGUGUAUAACCUUCAGAUUGAGUUUGAGGAUGACAGUCUGUUUGCCGACACACCUGCUUCAGUGGACGUUGAUAUGCACGAGGGGGAUGAUGACAGGGGGCGCAAGGAGCUUCCGGUAGAUGAUCCUGGUCCAGAGGCCGAGAGACCGGGGUCUCGGGUCAAGACCACUCUGAGGUUUGGUACCUUUGAGUCAGCUUCGGCACCCCCGAGACUAUGGAGUGAGCGGGUGGAGUCUUCUGAGGUUUUCGAGCAUUCCUUACCUGCGUUGGACCUUGAGGGUCCGAGAGUGGAGGUUUCUGGAGUGGAGGAAGGUCCGGAGAUAGCGAUCUCGCCUACCUUGGAUACUGUUGGCACGUCUGAGAUGCAGGUAAUGACUACGAGCUUGGAGGGGGGUCGCAGGCAGGAGACCUCGAUCCCUCAUCACUUGAUGGCUGCGACCAGGGUUCCUGAGAGGGACGAGUCCUCGUCGGUAGGGUGGAUGGCUGCUGCUUCUUCUGCUAGGCGGGUGGGUAUUUGUCUGGGGCAGGUGGUCCCGGCAACGCCUGCUGCGCUGGCGCUGGCCGGCUCUGAGGGAGGUUGUCUGGGGCAGGAGGCCCCACACUCUUCCCCUUCGGCUUCGACGGAGGCGGUUUCGACUGCCGUGAUUGGAGGGGGUCCGGGGAGGGUGAUCCCGGGCCAUCCCUCAUCCUCGGCUGGCGGGAUGACGACUCCAACAGCACUGAGGGUCGGGGCGGAAGGAGUGCUUGGACAGGUGGUCCCGGCACCUUCUACCCCUGGCCCCCUGACCGCCGGAGGUGGGAGCCGUCCGGCACUUCCUCUCGCGACUGGUGCCUCUCGGGAGGAGGUUGUUGCGUUUGGCGGAAUCCCUGAUCCGGUCUCCGAGGGGCGGCGGAUGAGUUCCCGUCUCUUGGAUCAUCCGGAGGUUGACGACAUGCAGCAGAGGUGCGCUACGAGGGCGGCCAAGCUUCGUGGUAUCGAGGCCACUUCCGGUAUGUCAGUCAAUUUAUCCAAUUCCAUUAUGCAUUUUUCUACGGAUGAGAUUAUUCAUAAUGCGACUCAAGUAGGGAUUUCGCUAGGGAAUAAUAAUGCUGAAAUUUCCAACUCGGUUAAUGAUCUUUUAGAUCUGGAGGCGGAUCGCGCAUUAGAAACCAUUCGAAACCUAGCGGCUGUGCGUCCUAUGACUGACGCUGAGAUUGAUGCGUUGGGAGUGAGAGUGCUAGACACCUUGUGUGCGGACCUUGCACCAUCCUGUAAUGAGCCAGACGAGGAGGACACCAACGUAGAGGUUGAGGUCCUUCAACCACCACUGCCCGGUUAUGAGGACCGGAUGGUGGACGAUGACAAAUCUAAACGUAAGUGGAAGCGAAAGGUGUAUCCAGCAUCCGCGGUACGUAGAAGCGCUAGGAUUCAUACGGCAAAAAAAUUCCAUGAUGAAUUAUGAAAGGAAUCUUUUGGAAUAGCAGAGGUCUCAAGGACUUGGCUAAAAGAAGGUUUCUUGCUGAGGCAUCUUUGGAGCACAGAUUAGAUUUCAUUGCUCUCUCCGAAACUGGAAGAGACAAUUUUUCUCCGCAGUUUCUUUCCUCUCUUGCGGGUGGUGUUGAUUUCGACUGGCAUUGCCUACCGCCACGUGGACGAUCGGGAGGCAUCUUGUUGGGAGUGAGAUGUGAUUCCCUUGAGGUCAGGAGUGUGGUAAUGGGAGACUUUGCGGUUAAGUUUCGGGUUAGGUCAAAAGUUGAUGGGUUCGACUGGGCUUUGGUGGCGGUGUAUGGAGCUGCACAGCCCGAAUUUAAACCGGAGUUUCUGGCGGAUCUUGUUCGAAUUUGUGGGUCCGAACAGCUUCCAAUGUUGGUCGGGGGUGAUUUCAAUAUCAUUCGGAGGAAAGAGGAGAAGAAUAAUGAUAACUUUGACGGGAGAUGGUCCUUUAUGUUCAAUACUAUUAUUGAGAGUUUGGACCUGAGGGAGAUUGAACUUUCUGGUAGAAAGUUUACUUGGGCUAAUGCGUUGCCAAACCCGACUUAUGAAAAGCUUGACCGAGUUCUCGCCAGCGUGGAGUGGGAACAGAAGUUCCCUCUGGUGACGGUACAAGCUUUAACGCGGGGAAUUUCCGAUCACACACCACUGUUUGUCGACUCCGGGGAGUCCAACUAUGUGGGAAACAAAAACACCUUCUCUUUCGAGAUGGCCUGGUUCGAACGUGAAGGGUUCUUAGACCUCGUUGCCAGGGAAUGGGCUAAGGGGGUCGGGGGUAUGACGGCGGUCGAGCGUUGGCAGAAUAAAAUAAGAUAUCUAAGAAGCUUUUUACGGGGGUGGGCUAAGCACCUAAGUGGGGUGUAUAAGAUUGAGAAGGAUAGACUCCUUUCUCUUAUACAGGCCCUCGACACUAAAGCCGAAUCUAUGAUUCUGCUGCCUGCUGAGAUCCAGGUUAAACAUGAGGCUGAAAAGAGGCUGAAAGAACUUCUCCGUGAGGAAGAGUUGAAGUGGGCGUUGCGAGCCAAGGUCCACAAAGUGGUUCAAGGGGACGCUAAUACUCAAUUCUUUCACCUCAUUGCUAAUGGCAAGCACCGUAAGAAACGAAUCUUCCAACUUGAGCAGGAUGAGGGUACUAUUGUUGGGCAGGAUAAUCUAAAAACUUACAUCACCGAGUAUUAUAGGCAAUUAUUUGGACCACCAGAGGUUAAUUGUGUAACUUUGGAUGAGUCUCGGACUGAGGAUGUUCCUCAACUGUCGGCUGUCGAAAAUGAUAUCUUGCUAGCCCCAUUUACGGAGAAGGAAGUGUUUGAUGCGAUUGCACAAAUGGAUAACAACAAGGCUCCCGGUCCGGAUGGGUUUCCGGCGGAGUUUUAUAAAAGGUGUUGGCAGAUUAUUAAGGGGGAUCUGUUACCUAUGUUUCACGAUCUUUUCUCUGGACAGCUUCAAUUAUUUCAGUUGAAUUUUGGAACUAUCACUUUGCUUCCUAAGAAAACGGAGGUUGUGCGAAUUGAGCAAUUCCGGCCAAUUUGCCUUCUCAACGUUAGUUUCAAAAUCUUCACCAAGUUCGGGACAAACAGGCUCUCACAGAUUGCGCUUUCUGUGGUACAGCAAUCCCAAACUGCUUUCAUGCCGGACAGAAACAUCCUCGAAGGAGUAGUUGUCCUUCAUGAAAUGCUCCAUGAAAUUCACUCUAAAAAAUUAGAUGGGGUAAUUUUUAAGGUUGAUUUUGAGAAGGCGUAUGACAAGGUCAAGUGGUCGUUCCUUCAACAGGCAUUGCGUAUGAAAGGUUUUGAUGAGGCUUGGCGCCAUCAGGUUGAAUCUUUUACGCAAAAAGGGAGUGUGGGUAUUAAAGUCAAUGACGAUAUCGGUCAUUACUUCCAGACUCAUAAGGGCCUCAGGCAAGGCGACCCAAUGUCCCCCGUUUUGUUUAACAUCGUGGUGGAUAUGUUAGCAAUAUUGAUCGGAAGGGCUAAAGACCAUGGUCAAGUGGGUGGUUUAGUACCUCAUCUGGUGGAUGGAGGUGUAUCCAUUCUUCAAUACGCUGAUGAUACAAUCAUCUUCAUGGAGCAUGACUUGGCCAAGGCGAGAAAUAUAAAGUUGUUGUUAUGCCUCUUUGAACAAUUAUCGGGGUUAAAGAUUAAUUUUCAUAAGAGCGAAUUGUUCUGCUUUGGUAGGGCUAAAGAUGAACAGGACUCUUAUAGGCAACUGUUUGGGUGCGAGUUGGGAAGUCUGCCCUUUUCCUACCUUGGCAUUCCGAUUCAUCAUCGUAGGCUAACAAACAGAGAGUGGAAGUGUAUCGAGGAUCGAUUUGAAAAGAAACUGAGCUGCUGGAAGGGUAAGCUCAUGUCAUAUGGAGGCCGGUUAGUUUUGAUAAACUCGGUACUCACGAGUAUGCCUAUGUUCCUCUUAUCGUUCUUUGAAGUUCCAGUGGGAGUGAGGAAAAGACUGGACUUCUAUCGAUCACGCUUCUUUUGGCAGGGUGAUGAGCUUAAAAGAAAAUACCGGCUUGCUAAGUGGGAUAUCAUCUGUCGACCCAAAGACCAAGGCGGGCUUGGCAUUGAGAAUCUUGAGGUUAAGAACAGAUGCCUUCUUAGUAAGUGGUUGUGGAAGCUCGCUAGCGGUUCGGAAGCUAUGUGGGCCCAAAUCAUUCGCAGCAAGUAUCUCCAGACUAGGACUUUGUCCCAGGUAACAGUUAGGCCGAUGGAUUCGCCUUUCUGGAAAGGGCUCAUGAAAGUCAAGCAAUUAAUGUUUAAUAGGACAAAAGUUGUCAUUGGCAAUGGGGCUACUACACGUUUCUGGGAGGACGCUUGGCUGGGCGACUCACCACUGGCCAUUCAGUAUCCGUCUUUAUAUCGUAUUGCUCAACGACGUGAGGUGCUCGUGGCAACGGUAUUUCAAUCUAUCCCCCUUAAUAUUCAGUUUAGACGGUCAUUAGCGGGCAAUCGUUGGGAGGUUUGGCUCCAGUUAGUUAGGAGACUAAUGGAGGUUCAACUUUCUGACCAACCGGAUAAAUUACGCUGGAAGUUGACUACGUCUGGGGUAUUUACAGUCAGGUCUAUGUAUACUGGUGUUAUUAAUACAAGCUCCAUUCCAACUUCCAAGAGUGUCUGGGAUGUCAAAGUACCUUUGAAAAUAAAAGUGUUUAUGUGGUUUGUUCAUAAACAAGUUAUUCUAACAAAGGACAACUUAAUAAAGCGUAAUUGGACAGGACCUACUAGGUGUAGUUUCUGUGAUCGAGAUGAGACAAUUAAACAUCUAUUUUUUGAUUGCCCGCUGGCCAAGGUUCUCUGGCAGACGGUCCACAUUGCUUUUAAUAUAACUCCACCGAAUACUGUUAAUGCUUUAUUUGGGAAUUGGCUAUAUGGGUUUGACUCUACAAUAGCAAGACAUAUUCGGGUUGGAGUCUGCGCUUUAAUAUGGACCAUCUGGUUGUGCAGAAAUGAUUUGGUUUUUAACAGAUCAUCACGAAUUCAUUUUUUGCAGGUUAUCUUCCGAGCUACGGCGCUGAUCCGUUCAUGGUCAUUACUCACUUCGAUGGAGGCCAGGGAGCAUUUGGUUACUGGGUCUACCCGGUGGGAGAUGGUUGCUCGGGAUAUCUUCAACCGGUUUGGAUGGCGGUCAUGUAAUAGGAUAGGCAAUUAGUUUCCCUAUCUAUAUAGCCAGCCGGUUGUGGCUCCUUUAUUGGCUAGUUAGUGUUUCUAGCCUUCUGCGCUCUGUGUGGGCUGCUUUUUAUUGUUUUCAGUUAGAGACUAUGGAAUUUUGUACGCACUUUUUGUUGCUUCUUUAAUAAGAUGGCUGUAUGCAUCACUCCUGAUGCAGAGGCCGGGGAGUCCCCUUUUCCAAAAAAAAAAAAUAAGUUUUACGUAACGGCAAUGGUGGGUAAUUUACAGAGGGUGGCAUUGGUGGUAAUUUCUUUAGUUAUAAAGUGGAUCUAACGGUUGUGGAGUUUUUAAGUAUAAAAUUAAAGAACUGAUGUUUCUAUUUUUUAUGAGAUUUUCUUGUCUAUUUAUCUAUUUUCUAGUUAACCCAUCAACUCAUAUAUGCUUAUAUGUAAACCUAGCCACGAUACUCAUUGAUUCGCUCCAGGCCCGGCCGCCUGGAAAGACAACGCAUCACAUGUACGUAUGCAGCUGACAGAUGUAUGCAUGAACCUUGUCACCAAGACCGGCAUACAAAUCAUAAUACAUGACGGUGGCACGGUUAUUUUCUCCUCUUAGCAUUAAUAAUUGUUUUCAUAACUUGGACGGAUGAUUCCUUUUUCUUUUGACAUGGACACGCUAGGUGGUGAUUCCUUUUUUUAACCUGGACGGGUGAUCUUUUUUUCUUUUGACCUAGACAGGCGAUUUUGUUUAGCUAGCCGUGUGGAAAAUUAUUUAGGGUAUAAGUUCUACAUAAUGGCAAUGAUGGGUAAUUUUGAGAGGAUGGUUUUGUGGUAAUUUCUUGAGUUGUAAAGUAGAUCUAACAGUUGUAGUAUUUUGAAGUAUCUACUAACACUAUAAAAGAAAGAGAGGGCGAAGAACCAAAUCAUCCUAUUCAUCGAAACCUGCAAUUUGAUGGUCUACAUCCCUCCAGAUACUAAACGCGUUUUACAUUUUAAUUACCCACCAUGCCAUUAUCUACUAUCUACUACCACUAUAAAAGGAAGAGAGGAGCAGAUCCAAACAAUCACAUCCAUCCAUCAUCAAAAUCUAAUGGCCCUUAAUCAUUUUGUGUUUAAUGCUAUACCAACCACGCAACAAGCCACAAUCAAUCGCUAACCCACCCUGCCCGUUCGCACGACAUGUCGCCCCGCUCGCACGACCCCUAGUCGCCCCCUCCUCCAUCGUCCCGCCCGCACGACCACCAGUCGCCCCCUCCUCCUCCUCCCGCGUCGUUCGCCGCCCCGCUGCUCCUCUCGCAGCCGUUAGCCGCCAUAGGUCGCCACCCUUCGCUGCGGGAGCUGUCGGCAAGUCCCCGCCCGUCGCGCCCUUCGCCGUGGGAGAGCCGGAGCCGCCGCCCGUCGCGCGUCGGGGGAGAGACGCUGCAGGUCGCCGCCCUUCGCCGCGAGAGAGCCGGAGCCACAGACCCGCCGCCCGUCGCGCACCUGCCUCUCCUCCUCUGCUGCCGCAGGUACGCCGACGCCUCCUCCCUCGUCCCGCCCGCACGACCCCAGUCGCCCCCUCCUCCUCCUCCCGCAUCGUCCGCCGUGGGUCAUCGCAUGGUCCACCGUCGCCAUUCCCAUAGCAUCCCGCCUGCACUUCCUCUUGGUCAGCGCAAUCGUUGGGUCACUAGUUCAUCUGUUCGUCCCUGGAUUGUCGUCGUUCAUCUUUGCUCAUGUUUCUCUUUGAUGAUGUCCAGGUGCCGCAGUGCCAUUGCAGGAGGAAACAGGCGGGUGCUCGGGGACAUCGGCAACAUCGUCCAUGCCCACAAACUCGAGGGGUAAGAAAAUCAGCGCAAGGAUCGAAUCCCAGUCCUGUUUUUCUUUCUUCCGUUCUUUUUCCUGAACUGAACCCGAUCUUGUUCGUUGCAAUAGCAAUAUCCAGCUACCGGUGGGGAUCACUCCAAUCACCAGGAACUUCGGCGCUGAGAUCUGAAGAAGGCCUAGGCCAAUCCAUCCAAGGUACGGACGCUCUGCUGUUUACACCACCUACUCUCUUGUCUGUUGGAGUUCAUGGCCUGUCACUCAUGUCCUCACAGUGUAGGCAAGUGAUCAAUUAUCCUGAAAUCUUUGCCCUAUUGUACAGCCCGUUCAAGCAGGCACAGAAGCCUCUCUAUAGAUUGCAUUAAUCCCUAACGUUUGAUCAAGAAAAAUUGGUACUUUUGGUGUCCAUCUACCAGCACUGCUCAUGACCAUAUCAUGCAAAUAUAGGAGCGAGGGGAACCAACAGGGGUGGUGUCCUGUGUGCAUCUCCUACAGCGUCCUGAAUCCCUGCAGUACACCAGCUACUUUGCGCUCUACCUAGAAGCUACAUGUGCUUUCAAAUUCGAUCUCCUGUGCGGCUUAAGACUUUGAAAUAAAUUUUGAUUAGAUAAAUCUUCAAUAGUUUUAGUUAUACUCUCUAUACAAUUAGUAAUUGUUUAGAUGAUAAUUCCGAACAAUGUUAGUGCUAGAGACUCAUACAUUAAUUUCAAGUAGCAGUUUUAGUUCCCCGUUCUCCAAUUGAUACAAAUAAUCUAUGAAUUAUCAACUAUUAGGCUAACUACGCACAUAUUAGAUUCUUUGUUUCAGCUGUCUCCUGUUGCACUGAUAUAUAUUUACGUUUCAGAUUAUGUAGUCUUCUGCAGGUUGUCAGAUAAACUCUUCCAGAGAUUGAGAUCUAAUCAAAACUGCUUUGAGUCCUUUACCUUUGAUUUUGCAAAAUGCAAUAAGAAGUAGUUGUCAUCUCUAAUGUUAAUGAAUAGAUUCUCAGAAAAGGAAAUUAAUUGGAAUGAUCUGCUCAGCUUGUCCCAUGACUUCAAAAGGAAGAAUUUGACUAAACUGAGAUGUUGAUCUGCAGUGUAAAGAUAGACAAAAUCAAAGACUGGCCUAUUUUCUAGUAACUCCCUUAGUCAACACCCGAGAGCAUAAGUGGGAGCAAAAUCAAUGGUAGCACUAAGUAUUGAGCAAAAGCACUUCGCAUUUUCAAGAUACCGUCUGAGCUUAAAAAUUGAAUUGAACGUGACGGUUAGUGUUAUGCUUAUAAGUUGUAGCCCCCAGCACUCUCUGUUGUACAUGGUGCGUAUUAUUACCUCCUUCAAGUUAAAAUGCCAUUCUAAUAAAGAAACAACAUGUUCUGGUCAACUCAGGUGCGUUCCACUGGGUGUUUUUCUUUCUUAAUAAAUUGUUGUUGCUGCUAAAUAACUAUGGGCUUAGGAUCAAGGCUGUACUUGUUAUUGCCAAUGAGUUAUUGCUUUGUAUGUUUACAUGCCGACGGUUGGAAUGUGAUAAUAAUUUCUGCAUGUCUACACAUAGUUUAUUCAUCCCACUGGAAAAAGAACCAAGAAUGUUGCGUGCAGAGAUGUCUUGGAGGGACAACACAUGUUUGUUUUCCAUACAUGCCAAUCCACCUUAUUAUAUUAGGACAUGUUACUCAUCUCUAAUAUUGAUUUUUUUUCUAAUUUAUGUGCAUAUUAUGCAUACAAUUAUGAGCUAUUCUGUUAGGAUAAUUUGAGUUAGGGAUCCUUACUAAAUAAUGUAUGAAGAUGGUACUGAAGGAGGCUUUGCAACUAGCAAGGUACUCUGUUUAUAAUCUGACUGAUAUUUCUUAAAAGACGUAUGGCUGCUCUGUUCUCUCAGACAAUAUAAAGCAUGGUUCUAUAUGCUCUGCUAAAUUUGCAACUUCCAAUGCUUUGUGGGGCCUUUCCCAUCAACUCUAGGGAUUUUACCUAAAGGUUCUUUUUUGAUUUUUCUGUGUGUGUGACUAGCUAUUUUACUUACUGGACGUCUAUAUCAGGCAUGUUUAGGGCCUUGUCUCUAUAUUUUUCAUGUGAAUCGCAGAGUAAUAUGUGAAUAACAUUUGCACUGGUGUAAGCUUGCAUGUUUGCUACAGCAGGGCAGAGUUGGUGUAGCAUCAUUAGUUUCUUUUUUGAUAUACUAACAAGUUACCCUGUGCGAAUUCUCAACUAUUUGGAGCCCUGUUUGCGUGCAAGAUUAUGAGGAGCGCCCUGUGCAAUUCCUCGACUGUUUGACACAGCGAGCGUCAAACGGGAGGGCUCCCAGGGGAGAGGCACGGCGGCCAGGGGCAUCUCCUUUGUUUAUCCGCCGCUUCCCUUUGUCACCAGUAAAUAGCAAUCAUGGCACCACAUCAUUCACUUGCCUACCAUAGAUUGACUGCUGAUGCGGGCGCUUCACUCCACUACUCCAUCUCAUGUUGUAUAUUUCCUCUCUUUAUAUCCAGAUAAAGUAUAGCAUGUAAAUAUGUCUAAAUUCAGAAAUAACGGUUUCCCUUCUAUCUUCACUUAUACUGUUUCGGUUAGUAAAAAUGUAACCAAAUUCAAUGGAUGGUGUUAUUUGAAGCUAGAUUAUAGGAUUAUUCCCCUGGUGUUAUUAAUGUAUUUGGAUUAAAGUUAAGAACAUGAUUUCUUUAUAUUAUUCCUUUAGAAUUUGGUAUGAUAUAUAACCACCAGUUUAGUAGAUGAUUUGGUAUGAUAUAUAACCACCAGUUCAGUAGAUGAUUCCUUUAUAUUAUUCCAAAGGCUUGGCAAUGAAUUUGGAUUAAAGUUAUGAACAUGAUUCACUGGAAAUUGGAAAAAGGACGUCAUGAAUUUGUAACUAUAGGAAAUUGUACUUUCUAGGUUUUUUUAUGGUCUUGCUACUAAAUUUGAUUUUAUCUUGGGUGGAUUUUCAAAGCAGGCAUGGGUGUUAUCCAUUUUGCUUAGCAUGCCUUCUUUACUGGUAAAGAAACACAUUAGAUAUAUCUGGAUUUUUGUUGAGUAAAUGAGUAUGAGUGCAAAUAAAUUCAGACACGAAGCAAAAACUUUGACGUUUCAUUGAUUAAGCAGAAGACUUUUCAGUUAAUCACGAAAAACCAAAACAAAAGGGCCAAGCCCACUCUAGAACACCGUAAUGCCACAAGAAACUACAACCACACAAACACACACUAGCUAGCGAACUCGCUUCACCGAACAAGCUGCUCUUCCAUGUCCGAAAGAAGUCAUGAGGCACUCUCCCAUGGGCGAUGAAGAGAUAAGCAUUCCACAUGCACGUAGUAGUUGCAACCCACACGACAUGAGGUCCAUGCCGUCGAAGUUGCAAAGCUCUCGGGGCCGCCGCCCUGACGUCCACUGCUUCAACACGCCUUGUGCCCUCAACCGGUAGGGUCAUCGCCCCCCACAUGCCACUGCAGAGACGUGCGUUGCACGUGCACGCUUACUAGUAAAACUAAAGGACAGACGUUCCUAAUUUUUCUAAGAUUUUCUAGUCUAUUUAUCUUUUUUCUCAAAUCACUUCAUGUAAGUUCACUGGAAAAUAAUUAGCGAUUCCGACGAGUGUUAACCAGAGACGGGAGCAAUCCGGCAGCAGGGGUGGAGGUGAACUAAACCAUAGCUUCGCAGAGCAAUAAUAAAGGAAAGAGAAGAUAAGAUAAGGCAUGAGGAGAAGUGAUUGUUUUUUUUAACACAAUACAGAUGUAAGUGCUCGAACUCCUGAAAUAAAUCCAUGAUAAAUAUGAGCACCGGGAUUUGGACCCUGAUGGUCUGGGGAUACCAUAGCCCCUCUACCAAUCCAACCACAUAUUGGUUCACAGAAGAAGUGAUUGUUAUGUGAUUUGUUUGACCGGCACAUAUGACCAUUUGUUCCCAAGUCACGUGAAGUGGGGCCCACCAUUUCAUACAUGUUGCAGAUUCAUAGUUUCACAGAUCCACAUAAUCAAGGGCUAGUAUUUCCUAAUUAAUUGGUGGGCCCCACUUUUCCAUAUACUACAUUACUCAGAUUGAAUGGCCACAGAUUCAUAGUUUUAAUGGUUCCACCAAUCGAGGGCUUGUAUUUUCUAAUUAGUGUAAUAUAUUUUAUGCAUAUUGAAUGGCCACAGAAUCAUAGUUUUAAUAUAUAUAUAGAUCCACCGAAUCAAGGGCAAAUAUUUUCCUCUAACAAGUGUCAUAUAUUUAACGCAUAUUGAAUGGCCACAAAAUCAUACUUUCUCCGUCCCAUAAUAUAAGAACGUUUUUGACACUACACUAGUGUAAAAAACGUUCUUAUAUUUUGGGACAGAGGGAGUAGUUUUAAUAUAUAUAGAUCCACCGAAUCAAAGGCAAAUAUUUUCUAACUAUUGUGAUAUCUUUUAGCCGAUUUCACCAUAUUGCGCAUUAACUAUAAUAGAUCGACAGAUCGGGAAGCUUAUAUAGGUAGGCGAAGGUUGAGAAAUCAUCGCCUCCCGCACAUACGACCCAUCAACUUCAGAAGCAAGAUUGUGGUAUACAUAGUGGAUAUAUUGAAAUACUCCUGGGGAUGGCACCGUGGCGGUCCAGAGAAAAGUCCUCAUGGUAUAAUUUAAAUACUGCUGCAACUAAUUUUACUGUCUACUUAUUUCAUGGCAGGCAACGUAAUCAAGCUUUCUUGUAUUUUACUGUCUUCUGCACACAUUUGAAGUGCCUUAAAUUUUCUUGUCAAGAAAGAUGGGCAAUUAACUCUUGAGUGAAAAAAUGGGCACUUAAUUUGUUUUCACAAUAUAUCUACGAUUUAGUUUCUGAGUGAAAUCAUUUUUUAGUCAAAUAACUGUUUCUCUUUCCAAAGGAAGUAUGUAUGUUGAGUUAUUCAUAAUUUUUCCUGUUAGGGUAUUACAUGUAGUAAGACUACAAAAAAUGUGUUAUGUUAGUUCUACACAUGUUAUGCAAAAUUCUUUAGGCGACGAUAGAGUUAUGAAGUGAUUACGAUAUUCCAAAUUGCCCUUUCAAAAUAAUUUCAGAGUAGAUAUGUCAGUCGAUUAGCGAGGAUUGAUACUGCACCAUCAUACUGUUUUGUACGUUCAAGAUAUAUAUAUACUAUCGCCCGCCUGAUCUCUGUAUGCAGGGUGCCUCCCAACGAAAUCAGCACUGAUAAUGUUCUUGUUUCGUCAGCCACCUUGGAGCUCCUGCAGUAGCAUAUCAUUGGUCCCAGUGUCGAUGAUCUGUUGCCUCCUCCAUCUCUAUAGGAGGAAGAUCACUCUACUGUCAUUCUAGUCGAUCAUCUUGCUGCUUCCAAUUGACUUUUCUAUGCCCGAGUGUAGUGUACCCCAUUAUCUCACCAUCCAGUUUAAUGUAGACUCCAUCAUUCUGUCUCUCACAAACACAAGUGUCUUUUUUCCUAAAAACUCUCUUUGACAUACUCUAUCACUUCACUCUCAAAAGAAAAGCAGGGUCUCCUCUCUCUUCAGUUUAUCCAAGGAAGGUAUUCUCUCUUGUAUCACGGGAUCUCUCGAGUUCUACACUUUUCUCUCUUGCUGCAAGGGUAUUGCCACACCCUUUUCCCUCUCUCUUGUCGGAUUGAAUAGUCAGAGUAGUAGACCGGGAAAAUGAAAAACAUCUAGCCCCUGCAGCAAUAGAGUGCAUUGUUCCUUCCCUGUUAAUCACCGAUAAAACAUGACCCACAAGCUCAUAUUCCAUAAAACAGAUCAAUGGCUGGACAAUGAGUUAAUGGGGUACACUAGACCCGGGCAUAGAAAAUUCAAUCUCUAUGAUUGGAAGCAGCCGACUGAGAGACUGGAAUGACAGAGUGGUCUUUCUGCUCUGGAGCUGGUAGAGGGCAAUAGAGCAUCAACAGAGAGACAAAAUGACAUGUUGCACGAGCUCCAAGGUGUUUGACGAAGCGAGCACAUCAUUAGUGUUGAGUUCCUUGGGAGGCGCCCUGUAGAUAGAGACCAGGCGAGAGAUAUGAGAUAUAUCAUGAACAUACAAAAUAGUAUGAUGGAGCAGUAUUGAUCCUCACUAAAUGACUCACAUAUCUACGCUGAAACUAAAUUGAAAGUGCAACAGAACAUGAAAAAAAUACAUCGUAGAUCCUUCAUAACUCUAUCAUCGCCAAAAGAACCUUUCGGCUGCAGUACCGAGGAUGUGGUCUCUUUCCCCAAUUGGGUGUUUCCCUGAUACGAAAGAUCGCGCCUCUUCCGGUUCAUGCUCCCACUCCAUCGUAUCACCAUUCUCUCUACUGCUAUAGUGAAGCUCUAGCAGAUGUUUUAUUAAGGAGGAGAUUCGGCUCUAAAAUUUCGGAUGUACGCAAGGCUUUCAUAAGGACAACUUCUCUGUGUUGGAAAUAUGCCCUAGAGGCAAUAAUAAAAUGGUUAUUAUUAUAUUUCUUUGUUCAUGAUAAUUGUCUAUUGUUUAUGCUAUAAUUGUGUUAUCCGGAAAUCGUAAUACAUGUGUGAAUACAUAGAUCACAACACGUCCCUAGUGAGCCUCUAGUUGACUAGCUCGUUGAUCAAACGAUAGUCAUGGUUUCCUGACUAUGGACAUUGGAUGUCAUUGACAACGGGAUCACAUCAUUAGGAGACUGAUGUGAUGGACAAGACCCAAUCCUAAGCUUAGCUCAAAGAUCGUGUAGUUCGUUUGCUGUAGCUUUUCUGAAUGCCAGGUAUCAUUUCCUUAGACCAUGAGAUUGUGCAACUCCCAGAUACCGUAGGAGUGCCUUGGGUGUGCCAAACGUCACAACGUAACUGGGUGACUAUAAAGGUACAUUAUAGGCAUCUCCGAAAGUGUCUGUUGGGUUGGCACGAAUCGAGACUGGGAUUUGUCACUCCGUAUGACGGAGAGGUAUCUCUGGGCCCACUCGGUAAUGCAUCAUCAUAAUGAGCUCAAUGUGAUCAAGUGGUUGAUCAUGGGAUCAUGCAUUACGUUACGAGUAAAGUGACUUGCCGGUAACGGGACUGAACAAGGUAUUGGGAUACCGACGAUCGAGUCUCGGGCAAGUAACGUACCGAUUGACAGAGGGAAUUGUAUACGGAUUGAUUGAAUCCUCGACAUCGUGGUUCAUCCGAUGAAAUCAUCGUGGAGCAUGUGGGAGCCAACAUGGGUAUCCAGAUCCUGCUAUUGGUUAUUGACUGGAGAGUCGUCUCGGUCGUGUCUGCAUGUCUCCCGAACCCGUAGGGUCUACACACUUAAGGUUCGGUGACGCUAGGGUUGUUAGGAAGACUUGUAUGUGAUUACCGAAUGUUGUUCGGAGUCCCGGAUGAGAUCCCAGACGUCACGAGGAGUUCCGUAAUGGUCCGCAGGUAAAGAUUUAUAUAUGGGAAGUUGUCAUACGGUCGCCAGAAAGGUUCGGGGGCAUGUCGGUAUUGUACCGGGGCCACCGGAGGGGUUCCAGGGGUCCACCGGGAGGGGCCACCUCUUCCGGAGAGCCUUAUGGGCUGUAGUGGAGAAGGGAACCAGCCCAAGUGGGCUAGGUUGCCACACCCCCCUAGGGCCCAUGCGCCUAGGGUUGGGGGAAACCCUAAGGGGGGCGCCCCCUUGCUUGGGGGGGCAAGCCCCCCUCCCCUCUAGAUCUCAUCUAGAGGGGGCCGGCCCCCUUCCCCCUUCCCCUAUAAAUAGAGGGGUGAGGGGAGGGCUGCAUACAACAUCCAAGGCGCAGCCCCUCCCCUCCCCAACACCUCUCCUCCUCCAUAAGAGCUUCGCGAAGCUCUGCCGGAGUACUGCGGCUUCAUCACCACCACGCCGUCGUGCUGCUGUUGGAGCCCUCUUCCUCAACCUCUCCCUCCUCCUUGCUGGAUCAAGGCGCGGGAGACGUCCUCGCUACGUACGUGUGUUGAACGCGGAGGUGCCGUCCAUUCGGCGCUAGGAUCUUCGGUGAUUUGGAUCACGUCGAGUACGACUUCAUCAACCCCAUUCUCUUGAACGCUUCCGCUCGUGAUCUACAAGGGUAUGUAGAUGCACUCCUCUCUCCCUCGUUGCUAGAUGACUCCAUAGAUUGAUCUUGGUGAUGCGUAGAAAAUUUUAAAAUUCUGCUACGUUCCCCAACAAUGGUAUCAGAGCUAGGUCUAUGCGUAGUUACUAUGCACGAGUAGAACACAAAGUAGUUGUGGGCGUCGAUAUUGUCAAUUUGCUUGUCGUUACUAGUCUUAUCUUGAUUUGGCAGCAUCGUGGGAUGAAGCGUCCCGGACCAACCUUACACGUACGCUUACGUGAGACCGGUUCCACCGAUUGACAUGCACUAGUUGCAUAAGGUGGCUGGCGAAUGUCUGUCUCUCCCACUUUAGUCGGAUCGGAUUCGAUGAACAGUGUCCUUAUGAAGGGUCAAUAGAAAUUAGCAAUUCACGUUGUGGUUUUGGCGUAGGUAAGAAACGUUCUUGCCAGAAACCUAUAGCAGCCACGUAAAAACUUGCAACAACAAUUAGAGGACGUCUAACUUGUUUUUGCAGCAAGUGUUUUGUGAUGUGAUAUGGCCAAAGGAUGUGAUGAAUGAUAUAUGUGAUGUAUGAGAUGGUCAUGUCCUUGUAAUAGGAAUCACGACUUGCAUGUCGAUGCGUAUGACAACCGGCAGGAGCCAUAGUGUGACGCCCCCGAUCCAGAUCAUACACUAAUCAUGCACGCAAAUGUGUACGAUCAAGAUCAGGGACUCACGGGAAGAUAUCACAACACAACUCUAAAACAUAAAUAAGUCAUACAAGCAUCAUAAUACAAGCCAGGGGCCUCGAGGGCUCGAAUACAAGUGCUCGAUCAUAGACGAGUCAGCGGAAGCAACAAUAUCUGAGUACAGACAUAAGUUAAACAAGUUUGCCUUAAGAAGGCUAGCACAAACUGGGAUACAGAUCGAAAGAGGCGCAGGCCUCCUGCCAGGGAUCCUCCUAAACUACUCAUGGUCGUCGUCAGCGGGCUGCACGCACUAGUAGGCACCUCCGGGGUAGUAGUCGUCUGGCUCCAGGGCUCCAGCAUCUGGUUGCGACAACCAGGUAGAAGGGAAAGGGGGAAAAGAGGGAGAAAAGCAACCGUGAGUACUCAUCCAAAGUACUCGCAAGCAAGGAGCUACACUACAUAUGCAUGGGUAUAUGUGUAAAGGGUCAUAUCGGUGGACUGAACUGCAGAAUGCCAGAAUAAAAGGGGGAUAGCUAAUCAUGUCGAAGACUACGCUUCUGGCAGCCUCCGUCUUGCAGCAUGUAGAAGAGAGUAGACUGAAGUCCUCCAAAUAGCAUCUCCAAGUAGCAUCGCAUAGCAUAAUCCUACCCGGCGAUCCUCUCCUCGUCGCCCUGUAGAAAAGCGAUCACCGGGUUGUAUCUGGCACUUGGAAGGGUGUGUUUUAUUAAGUAUCCGGUUCUAGUUGUCAUAAGGUCAAGGUACAACUCCAAGUCGUCCUGUUACCGAAGAUCAUGGCUAUUCGAAUAGAUUAACUUCCCUGCAGGGGUGCACCACAUUCCCCAACACGCUUGAUCCCAUUUGGCCGGACACACUUUCCUGGGUCAUGCCCGGCCGCGGAAGAUCAACACGUCGCAGCCCCACCUAGACAAAACAGAGAGGCCAGCACGCCGGUCUAAACCUAAGCGCACAGGGGUCUGGGCCCAUCGCCCAUAGCACACCUGCACGUUGCGUGGGCGGCCGGAAGCAGAACUAGCCCCCUUAAUACAAGAGCAGGCUUACGUUCCAAUCCGGCGCGCGCCGCUCCGUCACUGACGUCUGAAGUGCUUCGGCUGAUACCACGACGUCGGGAUACCCAUAACUACUCCCGCGUAGAUGGUUAGUGCGUAUAGGCUCGUAGCCAACUCAGAUCAAAUACCAAGAUCUCGUUAAGCGUGUUAAAUAUCCGCGAAAGCCGAACAGGGCCAGGCCCACCUGUCUCCUAGGUGGUCUCAACCUGCCCUGCCGCUCCGCCACAAAGUAACAGUCGGGGGCCGUCGGGAACCCAGGCCCACCUCUACCGGGAUGGAGCCACCUGCCCCUUCAGCCCCCAUCUCCGAACAGUAUCACAGGUAAUGUAACUGUGUAAAGUAUAUCGUAUAUGCCCGUGAUCACCUCCCGAAGUGAUCACGGCCCAGUAGUAUAGCAUGGCAGACGGACAAGAGUGUAGGGCCACUGAUGGUACACUAGCAUCCUAUACUAAGCAGUAGGAUAGCAGGUAAUGGUAACAACAGUAGUAGCAAGGACAGGCUAUGCAUCAGGAUAGGAAUAACGGAAAGCAGUAACAUGCUACACUACUCUAAUGCAAGCAGUAUAGAGGAGAAUAGGCGAUAUCUGGUGAUCAAGGAGGGGGGCUUGCCUGGUUGCUCACACAAGGAGGGGUCGUCGGUGACGUAGUCGUACUCGGUGGCAUCAGCGUCGGUCUCGUAGUCUACCGGAGGUAAGAGGGGGAAGAAACAAUGAAUACAAUGCAAACAUAAACACGACGAUGCAUGACGUGACAAUGAGCGGUGCUAGGUGUGCCCUAACGUGGUAUGAGGUGGUACCGGUGAAGGGGGGAAACAUCCGGGAAAGUAUUCCCGGUGUUUUGCGUUUUCGGGCAGAGGAGCCGGAGGGGGAAAGUUGCGAGUUCGAUAGGUUAGGGGUGUGUGGCGAACGAACGGACUGCGUAUCCGGAUUCGUCUCGUCGUUCUGAGCAACUUUCAUGUUGAAAAUAUUUUAAUCCGAGUUACGGAUUAAAAGAUAUGAUUUUCUAAAGAUUUCAUUAAUUUCUGGAAUUUAAUUAAUUAUUUAAUUAAUUCGAAAAACAGAUUAAUGACAUCAGCAUGAUGUCAUGCUGACAUCAGCAGUCAACAGAGUUGACUUGGUCAACCUGACAUGUGGGUCCGGGGGACCCACCUGUCAUCCUCUAUUUAGGUUAAUUAGGGUUUAGGUUAAUUAGUUAGCUUAAUUAACUGUUUAGUUUAAUUAGUGAUUAGGUUAAUCUAAUCAGGAUUAAUUAACUUAAUUAAUUCAUUAGAUAAUUAAUUAAUUAAUAAUUAAUUUUAUUAAAUCAUUUUUUUAUUUAUUAUUUUUAUUUUUAAUUCCUUUUUUUUAUAAAACAUUAUGGGCAUGGGGCCCAUCUGUCAUAGGCCCCAGGGGCCAAACGGGUGCGGGCGACGGGCGCUGGGCGCCAGCCCGAUACGGCGCUCGCCCAGAUCGACAGAGGGCCGACCAAAGGCGCAGCGGGGCCAACCGGGGUCGUAGUGGGGCGCCGGCCAGGGCCGUGGGGCGGUGGCCGGCAGGGGUGGCCGUGGGACGGAUGCGGGGCCGCGGUGAGCGCGGACGGGCGGUAAGUCACAGCGGUCGUGGGAUGGCAGCGGGGGUGUGCAAAGGGGGCGGAGGACCAUGGCGAGGCGCAGGGCCGAGCGCGGUCGGUACGCGGUGGACGGCGCCGGCGUCAGAGAACGAGGGAGAGAGAGGGAGGACGGGGCUCACCGAGCCCUGUAGUUGAGCAAAGCCUGCUCGAGGAGGAGUCGGGGCUGGCGCGACGGGGCGGAGGAGUUCAUGGCGACGAGCAGCGACGGCAGGGUGGUCCGACGACGGUGAGGCCUUCGGGCGGCAGCACGGCAUCGACAGGGUUUGGGGCGAGCGACGGGGUGACGACGAGGUGGCCGUGGCGGAGGCGUCCCGCGCGGCAUCGAGGCGAGGAGGAGACGAGGACGACGGGGCGACACCGUGGUGCUGGGAGGCGGUUUGGCGACGGAGAGGAGGGGCGAGGAGGCCAUGACGACAGCAGGCAACAGCGAUCCAGGGCGGAGACGGGGAGAUCGCCGGCGUCGGGGGUCGAGCUGCGGGGGAUCGAUCCCGAUCCAGAUCGGAUCGGGAGAUGGGGAGUGGGAGCGAGUGGGGAACGGGAUAGGGUUUCGGGUGUCGUGGGCUGCGGGGAGGAGGCCGGGAGGGGCGGCGCUCGGCGAUUCGGUGGCGGGGUCGAUGCGCGGGGAGACACGGUCNNNNNNNNNNNNNNNNNNNNNNNNNNNNNNNNNNNNNNNNNNNNNNNNNNNNNNNNNNNNNNNNNNNNNNNNNNNNNNNNNNNNNNNNNNNNNNNNNNNNNNNNNNNNNNNNNNNNNNNNNNNNNNNNNNNNNNNNNNNNNNNNNNNNNNNNNNNNNNNNNNNNNNNNNNNNNNNNNNNNNNNNNNNNNNNNNNNNNNNNNNNNNNNNNNNNNNNNNNNNNNNNNNNNNNNNNNNNGGGGGGGUGGCGAGCGCCCCCGAUCCAGAUCGGGUCGUGGGGUGGGGGAGAGGAGCGAGGGAUCGUGGGGGAAGUGGGGGGGUGUGGUGGUGGAUCGGGCUAGGGUUCGAGGGUGGUGGGGCGUUAUGCGGGGAGAGGUGGGCCGGCCGGGGUGGGCUGGCCGACUGGGCCGGUCGGUUGGCUAGCUGGGUCGGUUGGCCCGGGGGUUUGGGGGGUUUCUUUUUCCUUUUUUUUGUUAGUUUGUUUUCUUUUAUUUAUUUUCUCCUCUGUUUUAAUUCAAUUCAAAAUAUUUAUGCAUCUUAUAAAACUGUGUCUCCUACACCAUAAUUAUCUAUAUAAUAUCUAGUACAAACCGAACAAUUUUAUUUUAAUGUUUGAAAACUUUUAUUAUUUACCAAAUUUUCAAUUUGAAUUUUGAAUCGGUUUCGAACUAACUCGAGAUUAGCAACUAUAAUCGAGGUGACGUGGCAUCACUAGCAGAGGAUCACUGUAGCUUAAUUACCCGGGCGUCACACAUAGGAGUUGUCUUUAUUUAUUUAUGAUCUGCGUGUCAACAUAAACGUCAUGUAAUUACUUUACUUUAUUGCUAAAGCGUUAGCCAUAGUAGUAGAAGUAAUAGAUGACGAGACAACUUCAAGAAGACACGAUGAUGGAGAUCAUGGUGUCAUGCCGGUGACAACGAUGAUCAUGGAGCCCCGAAGAUGGAGAUCAAAGGAGCAGAUAUUGGCCAUAUCAUGUCACUAUUUGAUUGCACGUGAUGUUUAUCAUGUUUUACAUCUUAUUUGCUUAGAACGACGGUAGCUUAAAUAAGAUGAUCCCUCGUAAAAAUUUCAAGAAAGUGUUCCCCCUAACUGUGCACCGUUGCGAAGGUUCGUUGUUUCAAAGCACCACGUGAUGAUCACCUUUAGUACCAGUUCGUGGCACAAACCGGUACUAAAGGGGUCUGACCUAUAAUACCGGUUUGUGACACAAGCCNNNNNNNNNNNNNNNNNNNNNNNNNNNNNNNNNNNNNNNNNNNNNNNNNNNNNNNNNNNNNNNNNNNNNNNNNNNNNNNNNNNNNNNNNNNNNNNNNNNNNNNNNNNNNNNNNNNNNNNNNNNNNNNNNNNNNNNNNNNNNNNNNNNNNNNNNNNNNNNNNNNNNNNNNNNNNNNNNNNNNNNNNNNNNNNNNNNNNNNNNNNNNNNNNNNNNNNNNCCAUUUCAGUUUUGAAAAAAUCAAAAGAAAAUGAUAAAAACUUCAAAAAAUAAAAUCCUUCGAGAGGUAGUUAUAUUACUACAUCUACUAGUUAGGAAACUCUGAAAACUUAAAUUUGGACAUGUUUUGUAAAAAGUGUAGGAAAAAUGUAAAACGGCUAUAACUUUGCAUACGAUGUCGGAAAAAAACGUAUAAUAUACCAAAAAAUUCAGCACGAAAAUCUGCAUCCGAUGGAGACCGCCUACGGCCUGUUUGCAAUUUUUUAGAAUCCUCAAAUUCCAAAAGGAAAAAAGAUAUGGUCAAAUUUCAAGUUUUUUUAAAAAAAUUGUUAAAUCUGGUCAAACUACUUAUUCAAGAAGUAUUAAUGUUACUACAUAAUUAUUCAAGAAUAUUAGUGUUACUAAAUAAUUAUUUCAAUUUUUUGAAUUUUGGUCAAAUCUGGUCAAACUGUGGUCAAACUGUGGUCAAACUAUGGUCAAACUUAUUUAAGAAAUAUUAGUGUUACUAAAUAAUUACUGUUUUUUAGAAUAAUAGUUUCAAACUCAAACAGUGAAAUGUGUGACUUCAUGCUCAAGCUAAACUCCUGAGGGUUAAUAGGAUUGGCAUCUUACUAUUGUCAGGAAAACAACAAGUGCAGACUUAGAAACGAAGGAGAAUAGAACCCGAAAGUUAAGCGUGCUCGGGCUGGAGUAGUGAGAGGGAUGGGUGACCGGUCGGGAAGUUGGAUGAUUUGGAAUGAGUGAUCCACACUUAAGCAGUUAAGAGAGGUGAUUAGAGACUAAAUCACCAAAUAAUUCAGAAAAAUUAAAAAUCGAAAAAAAAAUCAAUUUUUUUCCAAAAAAAUCAAAAAAAAAACCUUUUGUACCGGUUGGUAACACCAACCGGUACUAAAGGUCCCCCAUACCAGGGCGCGAGCUCACGCCACGUGGUGGCACUUUAGCGUCGGUUCGUGCCGAACCCGUACUAAGGGGGGGGGCCUUUAGUGCCCACCAAUUAGUGCCGGUUAUUGAACCGGCACUAAAGGCCCUUACGAACCGGUUUUAAAGCUCCGUUUUCUACUAGUGUAUGCCAAGGAGUUCUACAAGAUGUUGUCUACUGCAGAGGAGGUUAUUCAUGAUCACACUCAAGUCUCUCGCCUAGCUGCUGUCACACGUCUAAUGGGAAUAAAAUCACAACAUAAUUUACCAGCAGAUUGUGUGAAUAGCAUCCUAGGCCUACUUGGGGACGUGUUGCCAAAGGGGCAUAAAAUGCCUUCAAGCUUUUAUGAGUGCAAGAGUAUGUUGGGUGUCCUUAAGAUGCCAUAUGUGAAGAUUGACGUGUGCACCAAUAAUUGCAUGUUAUACUACAAGCAAGAUGAGAAGAAAGAGAAGUGUGAUAUUUGCGGAGAAAGUCGGUAUGAAGUUGUUGAGGGGGAAAGCUCAGAAAUAAAACAUCGCCGCAUACCUCGCAAAGUGAUGCGUUACCUUCCUAUCACAGCAAGGUUGCAGAGGAUGUAUAUGUCGGCUGAGCUUGCGAAGCACAUGCGGUGGCACAAAGAAGGAGAACGCUCAUACCCAGCAGGAAUAAUUGGCCACCCAUCUCAAGCUGAAGCUUGGAAGGACUUUGAUAGGGAGUUUCCAGAGUUUGCAAAAGAUGCAAGAAAUGUGAGGCUUGUAAUAGCUACUGAUGGUUUCAAUCCUUUUAAGUUUGGAGGAUCACAAUAUUCAUGCUGGCCGGUGUUUGUAAGUCCGUUGAACCUCCCACUCGCACUGUGUAUGAGUGAGGAGAAUAUUUUCCUUACUAUGGUAAUCCCUGGUCCACAGCAUCCGGGUAAGAAUAUCAAUGUAUUCAUGAGUCCUCUUGUUGACGAACUGUUGCAGUUAUGGGUUGGUGUAGAUACUUAUGACAGUGUAACAAAGGAACCAUUCUGUAUGAAGGUUGCUUACCUUUUUUCCAUGCAUGACUAUCCUGCUUAUGGCAUGUUUGCUGGAUGGUGUACACAUGGCGGGAUGGCUUGUGCAGUAUGCAUGGAUGAUGUCGAUACAACAUGGUUACCUAAUGGACAUAAGUAUAGUUGGUUUGACUGUCAUCGUCGUUUUCUGCCUCCUGGUCACCCUUUCCGAAUGCAAGAAAAUGCAUUUAUAAAGCGAACUAAAGUGCUUGAGCCACCACCUCGUCGGUUAACUGGAGAGGAGGUAGAUGCAAGAAUUAACCACUUGAAGUCGCAGUCAUUUGAAGGAUAUGGAACAACACACAACUGGACACAUAUUCCUGUCUUGUGGGAAUUGCCAUACUUCAAGAAACUUCUGAUAAGGCAUAACAUUGAUGUCAUGCACAAUGAAAAAAAUGUUGCUGAAGCAAUUUGGAACACAGUUCUUGACAACGAGAAGACAAAGGACAACACCAAAGCUCGUCUUGACCAAGCAGUGUUGUGUAAAAGAAAAAGGCUAAACUUGUCCCAAAGCCAAAUGAAAAGUGGGAGAAGCCGAGGGCACCAUAUUGUUUGACAAGAGCUCAAGUAAGGGAGAUUAUGAAGUGGUUCCUGGAUCUGAAAUUCCCAGAUGGAUAUGCAGCCAACUUGAGGCGAGGGGUUAGUUUAGACCAGCUGAAGAUAAAUGGACUAAAAAGCCAUGACUUCCACAUUAUAAUGGAACGUUUGUUACCAGCAAUGCUCCGGGGCUUCAUUGAUGAGGAUGUGUGGAAUGUGUUGGCUAAGCUUCUUCUGCAGAUCACUUUGUGGGAAAGAAGUUGAUCCUGAGAAGAUGCUUCAAUGGGAAGAGAACAUUGCAGUUUUAUUAUGCAAGCUUGAGAAGAUUUUCCCACCUGGAUUUUUCAAUUCAAUGGAGCAUCUAAUGGUGCACCUCCCAUACGAAGCAAGAGUUGGAGGCCCUGUACAAUACCGGUGGAUGUAUAGAUAUGAGAGGUGCAUGCUUUAAGAUACAGUUGUUUCUAUCAGUCUGUUUUUAUUAUGUUGAUCUAAUAAUCAUGUUAAUGCAGGUUCAUCAAGAAACUUAGGAGGAAAGUCACUAAUAAGGCACGUGUUGAAGGAUCAAUUGUGGAGGCCUAUCUUCUGGAAGAAAUCUCCCACUUCACCUCGCUGUAUCUACCUAAUCUCAUUGCAAACUCACAAAACCGGCCAACCCAUUAUGCUCAAGAGGUUCAGCCUUCUAUAAGCACCCUUGGCAUGUUUCAACUACGGGGAUGGAAAAGUGGAAGGGGUGUGCCCAGACUUUUAACAACAGAGGAGUACAAGCAAGCCAUGAUUUAUGUGUUAACAAACCUACCAGAAAUGGAUGAAUAUGUACAAUAAGUGUGCUUUGCUUUAGUUAAAUAUCAUAGCUUAGAUCAUUGUGUGUGCUUAUGCAUUAAAAACAUUGUAGGAAGUUUGAAGAUGAGCAGUGGAGGCGUCCUCAACCACCUACUCCAAAGCAAUUGGAAAACUUGAGGCUUAAUGGAGCCGGUCAUGGAAAGCCAAACUUGCUGGAUUGGUUCAAAGAUUAUGUAAUCUCUCACACUUUUGUCUAUCUGCUUAAUAAUAAUUUCCUACUGAUGGCUUACAAACUUUUUUUUACUAUUUAUCAUAGUGCAUCAAACAUACUAGCGUACCUGAUGAGUUGUAGAGAUUAUCAAGAGGAUGCCGCUUUAAAGUGAAGUCCUAUGAUAUUUAUGAAGUAAAUGGGUACAGGUUUCGCUCAGAGAGUUAUGAAAAGAAAAAGAGAAGGUUAAGCACUGUCAACUCUGGUGUGCUCACUGUUGGUGAAGAGCUAGAGUACUAUGGCAUUAUAAAAGACAUAAUAGAGCUGAAGUUUGAUGGAAACGAGGACUUUAGCCUUGUAUUGUUUGAAUGUCGCUGGUUCCACCCGAUUGAUGGAGUCUGACGACGAGAUGACAUAGGAUUGGUGGAAGUUAAACAUGAGUCAACCAAUCCAGCAAAUGAGCCAUUUGUGCUUGCUAGCCAAGUAACACAAGUUUAUUAUCUUCCAUAUGCAUGCAAGUCGGAUCCAAAUUUAAAUAAGUGGUGGAUUGCAUACAAGGUCAGGCCUCCAGGAAGCUUGCCCAUUCCCUCGUUGGAUGACUACAAUGCUGAAAAAACACCUUCAAAUGUUGAUGACGUCUACCAAGAGGAUGCUUUGGAUGGUGUUUCCAAGAUUUCCAUCAAUAUUGGAGACGGCCUGGAUAACCUUACCAUCAACGAGAAUGAUGAAAUUGUUAACCCAAAAGAGCUAGAAGCGAUAAAGAAGCGACAAAGUGAAAUAACCCCAAAGGCUAAACUGCCUAUUUCAGCACCAUUUGAGGAGGAAGAAACUAACUCUGAUGCAGAAUCAGAAGAUGGAGAGGACAUGCAAUUAUCUCAUGAAGACAUUGAUGAUUUCUAAUAGUUUUCUUGUUCUGUUUGAGAGGACAUUUUCCUCCAUGUACUUUUAAAUCUGGACAUUGAUGAUUUCUGUUGUUUCCCUCUGUGUUGAACUUACAAUUCUAUCUCUUGUGGUUAUAUUUAUCUCUAGUUGUUUCCCUUUGUCUUGCACAUUUUUCUGCUGCUAUACUUGUGCCAAUUCAGAAAUGUGUAAUUUUAGUUAUGUGUUCUGUGGACCUUACUAAUGCAUUUCGAUUCAGUUUUACAGGAUGACAAUUUCGCACCGCCGCCGCAGGGGGUCAUCCUCUACUAGCAGUGCUACUACAAGUGCUACACUAGGGCAAGAGAUGGUUGCAUCGCUAGAAAUGUCAGCUGGUACAAAUGAUGAUGAGUGGCUUCCACCUCCAAAAUUCUUAAGAGGUUCUGCAGAACUUCCACCACCUAUCGAAAAUGAGUCUGAACGUCCAUUGAUUAGACCUUACGGCGACACGUGAGUUAUCAUUUAAUCCAUGCAUUAUAGAUUGGCACACCUUGAGGUGUUUUUUAUACACCACAUGACAUAACUUGGGAUGUGUUAAAACUUAUAUCUAUUUUCUUGUCCUAGGCACUGGUUAGAAUUACCUACUCUAAGAAAAACUGUGAGAAAGCCAAAUGGUGUGCUAAUGAUCCUUUUAAAGACGCAUCAUCCUGGUUUGGUUGAGCAAAAAGGAAAACUUGUGUUUGCAUCAACUUGGGAACACUAUAAGCUAAAGCCCAGUGAUGGGGGUCGUCCAAAAGCUAAGGAAAUCGAGGAAGAAUUUUGGGUAACAGAUCUGGUUCCUUUUUGAAGUGUAUUGUUGUAGUAAAUAUAAGUAACAGUUGAUUUCUUUCACAAGUGUACUACUGUAGUAAGUAUAAGUAACAAUUUAUUUUCUGUAACCUAUAUUGCAGCUGAGGUUUAGGCAUGAGGCUGAGUAUGAAGCAAGUGCAAAGCUCCAUAUUUGUAGGUGUUGCAACCAACUCUUGGCUAGUGUUCUGUACUAUGCUCGCAUACAGGCCAUAAGGGACCAUUAUUACAAACUUGAGAAUCACAGACUGAAAGAAAAAUUCGCUGGACGAUAUUAUCUUGAAAAACAUGAGUACAUGGCUGUCAGACCAUGGUGGUGCACUGUUAUUUCCUGGGAGGCCUUAGUUGAUGAAUGGUGUGAUGAUAAAUGGAUUGCGACAUCUAAGAAAAAUCAUGAUAAUCGCCUCAACUCUAAGUACAAGGCCCAUAGAGGUGGAUCUAAUUCCCUGACAACAGUUUGCCAAAAACUGGUACCCUCCUAACUUUUGAAUAAAUUAAGUAAGUUUUUUUAUAUAGUAACUUAGUUUUUCUUAUCUUAGUCUGAGAAAGAAGGAAGAGAGGUAUCUAAGAUUGAGGCAUGGAUAUACACACACAGAGGAAAAGAUCCAAAGAAUCCUGAUGCGUUAAAUAGCGUUGAAGCCACGGAAUGCUUGGUAUAGUAUCCAUCCAUUACUUGAUACUGAGUUUAUGUUUUUUUAUGGUACAUUAUUUUUUAAUCAUCUUUGCAUAUUGUUUGCCAUCUAAAGGAUUUGUACAAAGAGAAGGUUGUAAGCAUGCAUGGUGAGGACUAUGAUUGGAAGCAUUCUCCUGUUGAACCACAAGCCCUUUAUGAAGCUGGUGGUGGGAAGCCGCACGGAAAGUGGCUACUAUUGAAUGGUGUUGUGGAGGGUAAAGAGGCUCUUAGGGAGGUGCAGAUCAAACGCUCUUCGUCUUCGUCAAAGCGCCAAUGACUAGAACAUGAUAAAAGGAUUGCCCAACAUAACGAGUUAAUGAAAAGACAUGCACAAAGUAUGGUUGAUUAGGGGAAAUCUAUGCAGACUACAGUGGAGAGUAGCCUCGGCGGUGUGCACAAGUUUCUAAUGGUGUGUAUAUUUAUUUUGUGCAGCCAUUUUCUUUCUAUUGUAGCCACUUGACAUAACUUUCUCAUUUGUCUAAAAAAUUUCAGACCAUCGCAUCCCUUCAAGGAAUUCCAGGGCCUGAGAUUCCAUGCAUUGUUAUACCCCCGCCUCCAGCUUUUCCAACUUUAACCACUUCGCCUCCGAUCUUUUCUCCAGAAAUGGUAUGUACCUAUGUUUUCUUAAAUGCAAUAGCACCAAAUAGGCUAAAUGAGAACAGAAAAGGAAUAUGUUGUGAGUAUAUCAGCAAAUGUGCAACACUGAGUGAAAAUUCCCAGAAUAGUGGUCGACAUAUGGUUGCACUUUGUUUUUUGUUUCAAAUUUUUGGCCAAAUAGUGGCUGAAUUGGUUUAAUUUUACUUUUUAAUCAGUUUGGCAAAUAUGAUUGAGGAUUUCCCAGAAUAGUAGGCAUCAUAUGGUUGUCCUUCUGUCAAAAUCUCAUAAUUUCCUGGGCAUUUGUUAUUUUGGUUCAUUUUUUUGCCAAAUAGGGGUUGAAUUGGUAUUUCCAUUUUAUUUUUUUAGUUGGUUAGGAAAAUACAAUUGAAAUUUUCCCAGAAUACUAAUAAUGACAUUUGUGCAGCCCUCCACCGGUGAAUCAAUAGUUGAUGUUGAAAAUAUAGAUAAUACAUUGCGUGGAGCGGAAGAUGGAAUGUUUGGCGGCUUCUUUGAUGCAAAUGGUAAUGAUGCGAAUGGUGUUGUUUCUGGAACUUUCCCCCCACCUGGUAAUGAUUUACCUACAUUUUGAGAUAUCUCUCAUCAUGGUGAAGGAAGUGGUCUGAACUUUCUUUGUUGAUUAACUGAAAGCAAAUGGACAAUUAUCCUUUUGGCCAUGCACUUGGUUAUGGUUGUGAUUGUUUGGAUCAGUGACUUAUAUGAUGCAUGGUGUAUGUAUCCCAGGCUACUAAUUGGCAAUCCUAGAUAGAUGACAUUUUGUGAGUUCUAGGCACUGAGCUAGAUGCCAUCUUUUGUAAGGAGUGGUACUAUUGUGUAAACUCUUUGAUGUUGCCAUGUAUAAUGAUGGUGGCUGAAAUAUAUAGUUUAUGUGAUUGCUUUCUAAUUUUUGGAGUGAUUAUAUGCAAUUAUUUUUAAUAUUUUAAUUU
rnacentral:lncRNA from 1 species